AAGCGGUUCAGCUACUUCUCC
rnacentral:miRNA from 1 species